CCUCGUCCCCAUUUUCUACUGUCCGAGAACUUGGACUCUUGGUCAAAGGCCAAUCAAUAAUGCUCCACAUCCCCUGUGUUGAAUGUUACCUUUACCCCAUUAUGUAGCACGGCUUCACUGGUUAGUGGAGCUAAAUAGCACUGCAGAAAACAAAUGAUACAUAAAGACUGGCAGCAUACUGCCACCUGCCACUUGCCAAGAAGCGGUGUAGCCGUUAAGGACCGAAAUCAAUAUUUUGCAAUCAGUUUGAUCGCAGUCUUCAAAGCGAUAGUCGGCCUGUUUUUGUUUCAAGUGAUUGGAGUAUUGCCGGGGGACGGGGAGUUGAGGUUUGAAAUUGCAAUGCAAUUUCUUUUGGAGAGCCAUUGCAAAUCAGAAAAAAAGCAGUUUUUUCUUCUCGAUGGGAUAAUAAAGCACACUGAUUUACAAGGUGAUAGACAACUGUUGUGCGGAAUUUCACGUCCGAAACAUUCCUGCAUUUGCAGAGACAAAUUUCAGCCAGAGGAACUGAAUACCAUAUACAUCAUAAUUCCCUAAUCCAGCAAGAUUCAUACAGUUCAAAUUUCACCCAUUGUUAUUCAGUUAUGUGCUGUAGCUGGAUAUUCACCGGAGGAAUUUGGUGCCUUGCUCAAGGGUACAGUGCCUGACUGGGGAUUCAAAUCUGCAAAUCUAUUCUAAAACCAGGUAAUGUGAUUAAAAAAUGGGCUUGCUAGCAGUUUCCAUGCAGCUUUCCAGAGGCAAGAGCAUCAUGCCGAACGGGUCCUCAUCUGGGCAUAUUCCGCAGGAGACCCACAGGUCGAACACAACUGAAUAAAUCAACUUGGUUUUCAAGCAAAGUGCAGGCAUUGUCCAGACCAGACUCUCCGCUGGAUUUCUUCAAGCCCGCGCCAAAAAACAGGCCAGUCCCAUUCGUUCAGGCUUGUAUUUAUCACGCCACACUGUAUUUCUCUAUAGCAGCAGACACUACGGAAUCUGCCGAGAUAACAUCAUGUAAAUGCAUUAAAUAAAUCCUGCAUACGUUUCAGGCUGGAAAAAUAGAUGCCAAAUGUUCAUGCCACAUGAGUAAGAUGCUCCAUUUAAAGCUUCAUAAGACUUCCAAAUGUUUUCAAUAUCUUUCUAGGCAGGGAACCUCAGCAUGGGUAAUAUUUCCAAUUUUAAGUAAACAGUCAAGUGGCAGAGCUGAUAGAAAUGGAUCUCAGCAGUGUACUCAUGUGCUAACAGGUCCCGCUGGCAUCAGUUUACCUUGAAAGCCUCUGGGAAAGUUACCAAUGAGCAGACAUCACUGAAAUGCUGGAAUGUGUGUAGGUGGGUAAUGAAUCUGUGCUGAGUCUCCAAGGGAAUGGAAUGUGUGCAUUAUGAGAGGCACUGCAGUGUAGUGUUAGAGCCACUGGACUUGCGCCACAGAGGUUGCUGGUAUCAAUCCUGCUCGUACCGCUUGGCUGCUUGAACUGGCUCCGCAUAACCAGAUGGAUAAUAUACAAACAUUUGAAUCCGUAAAAAAAUAAGUGUUUAUAUGCUGUUAAACGGUAUCAUGUUCAAUAGCAACCACGUGCAGUGCUAAAUAAAGUUCUAACAGCUGUACAGGCUCUUUCAGUGACCACACUCAGCAUGCAGUGCUAAUGAUAUAUAAUGGCUGGUGGACAGUUUCCAUUUUCCAUUAAACGGUAAGGAAUGCACUUGACUACGUUUUUGAAAUUAGCUAGAUGCAAGUAGAACACAUGCUGCCAGUAAAGAAUAAUAUUAAUACCACCCAAGAUAGACAAUAUAGAUAUUAUUGGUAGUAUUCAGCAUAAGACCCUUACUGUAUUUUGUCAUGAACACAAAAUGGAAACGCCACAGCAUUUUAAUUGCAGGUCUGAGGAGAAAUGUGGUUCCCCUUUUGAACCCACGUUAGUGCUACAAUAGAACGCUGAAAAAGAAACAACUCAGUAUCUCAGAAAGCAAAAAGAUAAAUGUCCCUUAGGCAUUUAACCUCCAAAAACAAACAUUCACUGUGGUUAUCGGACAAAAAUAUAAAUUAAAAUAAGCAGCCAGUGCACCGAAACUAAACAGUGUACCUUUACCUGUAAAUAUAAAAUGACUAUGUUCCAAUUAAUGUGAUGUUCCAAUAUUUCUUUUCGCAUUUAUGUGAAUUUAUGCAAUCAUCAUUUCAAUAUAAUUAUUUGAACACCCUCCUGUGAAAAUCCCUCUUGUAUAAUGAGUCACUGUGUAAUUAACGUACAUCACUCUUUCCAGACAUAUUAUAGCAUCACAUGCAUCAUUGUUUGCAGUGAUGGACCACAUUAAAGUAAUAUGUUUAUUAUAGAAAGGCGUUCUUACCUAAA